AUACGUAGGGUGCGAGCGUUGUCCGGAAUUACUGGGCGUAAAGAGCUCGUAGGUGGUUUGUCGCGUCGUCUGUGAAAUUCCGGGGCUUAACUCCGGGCGUGCAGGCGAUACGGGCAUAACUUGAGUACUGUAGGGGAGACUGGAAUUACUGGUGUAGCGGUGAAAUGCGCAGAUAUCAGGAGGAACACCGGUGGCGAAGGCGGUUGUCUGGGCAGUAACGGACGCUGCGGAGCGAAAGCAGGGGUAGCGAACAGGAUUAGAUACCCUGGUAUUCCAUGCCGUAAACGGUGGGCGCUAGGUGUAGGGGUCAUCCACGACUUCUGUGCCGUAGCUAACGCAUGAAGCGCCCCGCCUGGGGAGUACGGCCGCAAGGCUAAAACUCAAAUGAAUUGACGGGU
rnacentral:rRNA from 1 species